UGCAGCUGUGUCAAAUUCAGUGCUCUCUGUUUGGUGGGUUGCACUGGCCAAAAUGGCUGCAACAGUGACUGUAGUUCAUGGGCCUCACUUCUCUGCACUGUAGACCGUGGGGAUAAAUCUGUUCUACAGACAAAA